rnacentral:misc_RNA from 1 species
GAUGAAGAACGCAGCGAAAUGCGAUAACUAGUGUGAAUUGCAGAUUUCAGUGAAUCAUCGAAUCUUUGAACGCACAUUGCGCCCCCUGGUAUUCCGGGGGGCAUGCCUGUCCGAGCGUCAUUACAACCCUCAAGCUCAGCUUGGUGUUGGGCCCCGUCGCCCCGGCGGGCCCUAAAGUCAGUGGCGGUGCCGUCCGGCUCCGAGCGUAGUAAUUCUUCUCGCUCUGGAGGUCCGGUCGUGUGCUCGCCAGCAACCCCCAAUUUUUUUCAGGUUGACCUCGGAUCAGGUAGGGAUACCCGCUGAACUUAAGCAUAUCAAUAAGCGGAGGA